GAUGAACGCUGGCGGCGUGCCUAACACAUGCAAGUCGAGCGGGAAAUUCCUGAUUGAAACUUCGGUCGAAAGAAGGAAUGGAGAGCGGCGGACGGGUGAGUAACGCGUAGGCAACCUGCCCUUUGCAGAGGGAUAGCCAUUGGAAACGAUGAUUAAAACCUCAUAAUGCCGGAAGUUCACAUGUACAUCCGGCCAAAGAUUUAUCGGCAAAGGAUGGGCCUGCGUCUGAUUAGCUAGUUGGUGGGGUAACGGCCUACCAAGGCGACGAUCAGUAGCCGACCUGAGAGGGUGAUCGGCCACAUUGGAACUGAGACACGGUCCAAACUCCUACGGGAGGCAGCAGUGGGGAAUAUUGCACAAUGGCGAAAGCCUGAUGCAGCAACGCCGCGUGAAGGAGACGGUCUUCGGAUUGUAAACUUUGUCUUGUGAGAGAAUGACGGUAGCCAAGGAGGAAGCCACGGCUAACUACGUGCCAGCAGCCG
rnacentral:rRNA from 1 species